rnacentral:tRNA from 1 species
GCCCGGAUGGCGGAACCGGUAGACGCGUUGGUCUCAAACACCAAUAUCGCAAGAUGUGCCGGUUCGACUCCGGCUCCGGGUACUA